rnacentral:lncRNA from 1 species
GGUACAGUCCCAGGUCAGGGCGCUCCUCUUGUGUCACCAAUGGUGCAGCCUGGGCAUCAGCCUCUCUCAGCUUCAGUGCCCUCGUAAGUUACUGCAAGGCCUCUGCUACAUUUCCAUCACUUGGUUUUUGUCUACUAAAAGACUGCUCCCGCAUCCAUUCAUUUUGUAUGCUACAUAAAAUUGGGUAUCCUUGCUUGUGCAACUACUCAGUUGGUGAAUGUGCAGGUGAGUUCAACUGAACCUAGCUCUGCAGAUUGGCAAAAACACAGUUCAGGGGAUGGAUGGAUAAGCUUUAAAUGCACGCCCGACAAAAGAUGAGUUAAGUACGAGCAUUGACGUGGUGUAGUAACUGAUCUCAAUUGUUUUGUCGCCUUUUUGAGCAACCAUGCUCGUUAGAUAUUAAUCUAUACUUAUACUAAUUACAGGCUUUCAAGAAAUUCCCAGGUAAAUUAGUAAAUAUGAGCGGUUAAUCUGGUAGGUCCAAAUUAUAACGGUGUAGAUUAGUUCGUUAAAAAUCCUGUGCCGUGAGGUUUUUUGUACUAUUUUCAUAGAGUUAUUUGCACGGACACAUCCAAGAUUUAAAAACAAUUUGCAUGCAAGUGUUUUGUCUUAUUAUAUCACCAAACAUCUUAUCUUACUUUAAAAAAAAGGCCCAUCGAGGCUCAUGUCUUCAUGUCAUCUGUUCUCAAUAAAUCACCAUACCUAAAAGAAACUCCAUCAAUCGCUGAUUAGAUCUGGAGUAUAACUACCUUGCGUCCUGUGAGCAUCCUACCUAACACGUUCCUCAGCCAACGGCCGCCGCCGCCGCUCGAGAUGUCUUUAUUGGAUCCGCCACCCCUUACUCUCGGCUCCUUCUCCCUCCCUCUACACAGGUUCCUUUCUCUCCUGCUAGCAUCUAGCUUCUAUGGUCUCCAAGUUGUUGCCAUCCCUAAUACGAAGCUCAUGCGAUCAUCUAGCUUCUGUGGUCUGCUGCCUAUCAUCAUGGAUAAUCUCCAUAAGAUAUUGCAGGAGUUUAUAUCCAGGCUAAUCUCCAUAGGAGGGUGAUUUUGGUAAUCGUUCUGUUAACAUUCAGUAUAUUAUGGCACACUCUACACAAGCAAGAUGCAUGAUUUCUUCACUUGAUGUUGAUGGCUAUGGCCACGAAUACGUGUUCUCUUACUGCUACGUCUAAGUCCGGUUGCUCGAUCAAAUUGCUGAAUUUUAGACUCCAUGCUUCGUUUCUUACGUCCCAAUUUGUACUAUACUUUAAUACCUCUGGAGUAUGUAUAAUUUGUAUUUGUAUUUGUUACAUAAGGUUAUGCCCUUCUAUAAUGCUGAAUUUGUUACAUAAGGUUAUGUAUUUGUAUACUUUGUAUUUGUUACAUAAGGUUAUGCCCUUCUAUGUAUACUUUGUAUUUGUAUUUGUAUAGUUUGUAUUUGUUACAUAAGGUUAUGCCCUUCUAUAAUGCUGAAUUUCUCAUCGUGGGUUCCUUUCCUGCAGCUUUUAAUGAUAUCUUAGUGCGGGGUCUGAAGUUGAUUGAGAGACCACUCCUAUCUCAUGUUUGUGCUUCUCCGUAAUAGGUUUACCUUCUCUGGGUAUUUAAUUGUCCGUUGCUGACAGGGAGUGGUAAGAUUUAAUUACAUGGGUAUUAAAUUUCCAUGUUCCAGUUGUAGAAAGAUAUCAGAUCAUUGAUUUUUAUUUGUAUAAAAUAUUUUCUCAACUACUUUAGGAGCUGCUGAGAUUUCCUCUGGCCAAUCCUCUUGGAGAAGCAGUAGUGGAAGGAAGGAUGAAGUCUACACUCUAUACAUGUACGUCAAUUACAGGGAAGAGGACUUUCUUCUGUUGUGUGAGACACAAGUCUGCUUUAUUUCGGAUGUGCUAAUGGAAUUCAAGAUUUUAAAUAUUCUCACAUUAAGAUACGACUGUAAUUAUUACAUGUAUCCAUCUUUUGCUCAUAUAUAAGUACGAGUAUACAACUAAUGAUUUGUUCAAACAUUUAUUUAGGUUUUCCCUUUCUAGACUAAUAGUGUUUGUUCAAUGGUCAAUGCAUGCAGCAUUUACUAAAAUAAAACAUGGAGAUUACUUGAUUGGACUAAUAUGCCUCUACAGAGCCUACUUCAGGAAUAGAAUGACGAUGUUGCACAUCCCUUAUGCAUAGCUCAAGGACUGGUGCUCUUUUUCAGAAUUAAAAGCUACAACAUACAAAUAAUCUCGGAAUCUUUUUUUUCUUGAUAUCAACCAGUUAAGCUUUGUAGGUUACAAAGCUGUGAAUAGCUUGACACUCUUAUUCACAUUCAUUAUAAUUGAUCGGUUGAGUGAAACAAAAUUUAAAUGUUUCAGACAAACAUGAUCCAUUAUUUUCAAUUUCCAUCAAUCAUGUUUGUCUCAAUCAAUAGUUAAGUUUAAUAU